GAUGAACGCUGGCGGCGUGCCUAAUACAUGCGAGUCGAGCGAACAGACGAGGAGCUUGCUCCUCUGACGUUAGCGGCGGACGGGUGAGUAACACGUGGAUAACCUACCUAUAAGACUGGGAUAACUUCGGGAAACCGGAGCUAAUACCGGAUAACAUGUUGAACCGCAUGGUUUAACAGUGAAAGACGGUCUUGCUGUCACUUAUAGAUGGAUCCGCGCCGCAUUAGCUAGUUGGUAAGGUAACGGCUUACCAAGGCAACGAUGCGUAGCCGACCUGAGAGGGUGAUCGGCCACACUGGAACUGAGACACGGUCCAGACUCCUACGGGAGGCAGCAGUAGGGAAUCUUCCGCAAUGGGCGAAAGCCUGACGGAGCAACGCCGCGUGAGUGAAGAAGGUCUUCGGAUCGUAAAACUCUGUUAUUAGGGAAGAACAAAUGUGUAAGUAACUAUGCACGUCUUGACGGUACCUAAUCAGAAAGCCACGGCUAACUACGUG
rnacentral:rRNA from 1 species